rnacentral:lncRNA from 1 species
CCCAGUGCUUUAAAGUCACGAGUAGGUGCCUAAGGAAAUAAGUGAAAGAUCAAAAUAUGUCAUACUUGCAUUUAAUGUAUGAGAAUUUGUUUUGACCACAGAACCGAACUCCCACUAAGGAUUUCACUCCCUGAUAGUCAUUCCAAAACUUAGUAUAAGACUUUUAUUUUUUUCUAUAUAAGGAAUUUAGUCUCAAAUAAGCAUUCCUCACUUUACUGGCCUAGACUGAACAAGGCAAUGGCUAGUGGCAAUCUAGUCCACAAUUAAUGAAGAUCAUAUUUUUGCUGACUCCUUGGACCCUGGGUUCAUGAAGAUAUGAAGAAUUGAGGCAACGACAAAAAAAUACAUUAACAAAAAGAAAGCAAACAUUAAAGCACAAAAGCACCUUCAUCAAUGUUCUCACCACCUGUGGUUCCCAACAUAAAGAAUUUUCCAUUUCUGUUAGCUAUAACACUCUAGAGUUAGGAAAGUAACUAGUACUUUACAAAUAUUUUUCCUUUCAAAUGCUUUAUUACAGUUAAGAGGAAAAAAGAACAUAAUGAACGAAAAAAAGAAAACCACAAACAUUUUAUAUACAUGCAAAAAGGCAAUAAAGUGACAAAAUGUUUAGAAAAAGCAUGUGAAAAAGUAAAAUCAUUAUUAGUAUAUGUAAAAAAAUAAUUUUACUUGCCUUGGGUAGGUGUCUAAUUUUUUUCUUUCCUUUGUGAGAACACCGACUAAACUAGAAUGACCAGAGGUUCAUUUCCAGAAUAUAUUAUUCACGACGUUAUUUAUAUGUGUGUUUGCAUAUGUGGCAUGAAAUGUCAUAUAUAUAAAGGAUAUAUGUUUAACCAAAAGGAAGAAAAACACCAUACCUUUGUUAUUUAGAAAUCAACUCACAAUUGCAUAGUCAAACCUAAUCAUUGUUGUUUUGAUAUAAAUUUUCUUGCUUUAUUAGUGAGUUGGCUUUGAGGAAAUGUGUAUUUCCACAGGUAAAACAAGUAUGUGUUAAUUUCUUGAGCAAGUAGGAUUCCAGUAUCAGAAUACAUUCUUAAAUGAAUUAUUCCUAAAUAACGCAUAGCACAUUACUUAAUCUUAUAAGGAACUUAUUAUUAGGAUCUUCAUUAAUAAAUAUUUAUUUAUAAAUAUUGCUGUGCUUGCUAAGGGCACUGACCUUUGGCCAUUAUAUAUAUCUAUAUCUAUGUAUAUAUACAAGUGUAUCUAUAUAUACAUUAUAGCUAUAUAAUGAUAUAUCAUGAUAUAAAAUAUGAUAUGAAAUAAUAUAAAGUGAAAUAAUGUAAAAUGUAUAACCUAUAUCUAUAUACAAGUAUAUAUAUAAUACUAUAUAUAUACAAGUGUUUAUAUACAAGUAUAUAUAAUGGUAAAAGGUCAGUGCCUUCAACAAAGCACAGCAAUAAUAUAUUUAAAUAAAUAUGUAUUUAUUAACAAAGAUCCUAAUUAUAAGUUCCUUGUAAGAUUAUGUGCUAUGCCUUAGUUAGAAAUAAUUAAUUUACACAUACUUGUUUUACUUAUGGAAAUACAAACACAUUUCCUUAUAUACUUGUAUAUGUACAAGUGUAUAUACAUAUAUAUAUAUGAAAUAUAUAUAAUAAUGGCAAAAGGUCAGUGCAUUUAUACAUAUUUAUAAUGUGUAUGUUUUACCUUUGGUUUGUAUGAUUUAUAUUUAUAUAUAAAUGUACAUAAAUUUAUAAAAAUGGAAGACUAGCUGGAAACCAGAAUCUGACUUCAAACAGUUCCUGGUAAAAAUAAAAUUUCCCAGUUAAGUUUGUAAAUUAGUUUUUUGAAAUUUAGAAAAUAGUAUCUCAUUGGACCAAUAUUUAUAAAUUGUUUCAUUCCCAGGUAAGUCCACAGAAAUCUAUUUAAUUUAAAUAAAUUUUAGUACCAUGCUUAAGAGAUAUUUUCCUUUUUAUAAGUUUGUUUUGUUUUGGUUUGUUUCCUAAAGGAACUGGUUUUUAGCAAGGAGACCAAGAAACUCUACUCCCUAGGGGCUAGCAAUGAGAGAAAGGAAGCCUUAAGUCUUUGAGCACAGGGUGACAGUUUGGGUCCUAUGUGAGAUGAUCAAAUCCACAGCAACAGAGGAAAGGACAAAAGGAAAAGAUACUUCGAUGGAAUCAGCAGCCAUUGAUCCAAUGCCAACUCCAAGACUGGAACGUCGCAAUGAUAGUUCCAAGGCGGAAAUUUGACGUAAUUCUUUUCGACACAGUUUUACAGGUGUGACACCAUGAAGUCGUCCCACAUUUCCCACAACCUGAAUUUGGGAUGACAGUCGACUGUGAGAUUUUGUAAACUGAUUAUCAUCUGUUUCUGUUUUAUUCUCAUUACCUAACAUAUGCCCACUGGGGGGUGCUAAAGAACUAUGAAUUGGAG